GAGUUUGAUCGUGGCUCAGAUUGAACGCUGGCGGCAUGCCUUACACAUGCAAGUCGAACGGCAGCACGGGAGCUUGCUCCUGGUGGCGAGUGGCGAACGGGUGAGUAAUGCAUCGGAACGUAUCCUUGGAGUGGGGGAUAACGUAGCGAAAGUUUACGCUAAUACCGCAUAUUCUGUUGAGCAGGGAAAGCGGGGGACCUUCGGGGCCUCGCGACUCUUGGAGCGGCCGAUGUCGGAUUAGCUAGUUGGUGAGGUAAAGGCUCACCAAGGCGACGAUCCGUAGCAGGUCUGAGAGGAUGAUCUGCCACACUGGAACUGAGACACGGUCCAGACUCCGUACGGGAGGCGAGCAGGUGGGGAAUUUUGGACAAUGGGGGCAACCCUGAUCCAGCCAUGCCG
rnacentral:rRNA from 1 species